AACGCAUCUUGCGCUUCUUGGUAUUCCAGGAAGCAUGCCUGUUUGAGUCUCAGUUGACUCUCUGACCGCUUCGGUGGCCAGGAUCUGAGCGGACCAGCGGUAACGCUCGCCGCUCCAAACGCAUGCAGCCGGCCUCUAGAGUGUUGGACUCGGAAUGGCUUGAUAAUGUCUUUGACUUAUUAGUUAUCCGGAUCCCGCGUCUCCUUAGGCCAAGGCGCCAGACUGUUUGUGCCUGCGAAAGCGGCGCUCACACUCGACACCUUGAGCUCAAAUCAGGCAAGACUACCCGCUGAACUUAA
rnacentral:misc_RNA from 1 species